UACGUAGGGCGCAAGCGUUGUCCGGAAUUAUUGGGCGUAAAGAGCCCGUAGGCGGUCUGUUGCGUCGGCUGUGAAAACCCGGGGCUCAACUCCGGGCCUGCAGCCGAUACGGGCAGACUAGAGUUCGGCAGGGGAGACUGGAAUUCCUGGUGUAGCGGUGAAAUGCGCAGAUAUCAGGAGGAACACCGGUGGCGAAGGCGGGUCUCUGGGCCGAUACUGACGCUGAGGAGCGAAAGCGUGGGGAGCGAACAGG
rnacentral:rRNA from 1 species